rnacentral:rRNA from 1 species
AUGUGUAAGCGAAGCGAUAUGUGGAGCGGUGAAAGGCUCAGUAACGGGCGAUUUAUUUGAUCUCCUGGGACGGACAACAUCGGGAAACUGAUGGGAAAACGUCUAAGUUGCAGUUUUCUGAUUGCGACGUAAACCAUAGUGUGCAGGAGAGUAAGAUGCCAUCCUAUCAGUUAGUAAGUAGGGUAAGGGCCUACUUAGACGAAGACGGGUACGGGGAAUGAGGGUUUGAUUCCGGAGAGGGAGCCUGAGAGAUGGCUACCAGGACCAAGGUCAGCAGCAGGCGCGAAAAUUAUCGAAGCCCGCCUAGGGGCGAUAGUGAGGAGACGUGUAUACGAAGUACGUGUAAAGACCGUACUAAUAACUGGAGGUCAAGUCUGGUGCCAGCAUCCGCGGUAAUUCCAGCUCCAGGGGUGUCUAUGAUGAUUGCUGCGAUUAAAAAGUCCGUAGUCGAGCUGACUGACUGACCUGCAAUGUGAUUGAUUAAAGAACGAGCAGGGUUAGGAAAGCAGAGGAUUAGGAGCGACCGAGGGCUAGAGUAUUGAAUGGCGAGAGGUGAAAUUUGAUGACCCAUUCAGGAGUGACAAAGGCGAAGGCACUAGUCAAGGGCGAAUCCGAUGAUCAAGGACGUAGGCUAGAGUUUCGAAAACGAUUAGAGACCGGAGUAGUUCUAGCAGUAAACUAUGCCGACGCCGUGGUAUUAUUUAGUAUUGCGGAAGAGAAAUCAAGUAAGGCUUUGGGGAGAGUACGCGCGCAAGCGAUAAAUUUAAAGGAAAUUGACGGAGGAACACCACAAGGAGUGGAGUGUGCGGCUUAAUUUGACUCAACGCGGGACAGCUUACCAGGCCCGAUAAUCGAGCGAGCGUAGUACGCGAUAGGUUAAAAAGUGGUGCAUGGCUGCUAUCGACAGUUGGGGUGACCUUAGGGUUAAUUCCGGCAAGUAGUGAGACCCCUGCAGAUAGUGGACAGGUAUUUUUAAGAUACAGGAAGGAAAGGGACAAGAGCAGUCAGUGAUGCCCUUAGAUGGGCCUGGCUGCACGCGCACUACAGUGGUUCAUUAUAGUAGAAAGUUAGAUAUUAAAGAAUGAAUCGAGAGGGACCUGAACUUUGUUAAGAGGCUCACGUACGAGGAAUUGGCUAGUAUUCGUAAGGC